CGCGUGGGACCGGACGCGGCGGGCGCGAGAGGGCGCAGGCCGGGCGCGGGACAGUCCCCUUAGGGCUGCCGGUCGCGCGCAGUUCCAACCUGCGCGGCCGGCGCGCCCCGCCUUAUAUCCGGCCCGGCGCGCACCCGGCCGGCGGUGGCGCGGCUCGCAGCCCAGCCACCGGUUGCUAUAGCGAUGUCCCCCCCCCCCACAUGUUGCUGACAGCAAUUGGCUAAGGGGCUGCGGCUCUCCGAAUACCCUCUCCCGCCCGAGACUAUGAAUGGACAUCGGUGUUGUCAGUCACGGGUACCGCGCCGCAUCCAGGUCCUUGCAGGGCUUUCUUUCUACUUUCAUUCUUGAUUCCUACUUCAUCCUGGGCAAGUUCAGGGUAACAUCUGGGAGCCAUGGAGGAGGGCUCUGGCAAGAAAAGUCAGCUAGAAUGGCCCUACUGUGACCUUCGGUUAUGUGAGGGGUAGGUGGGGGUGUUGAAAGUUGCAGGAGAAAAAUUCGCGGCCAAUCUUUCAAGCCGUUUUAAUUUUGCGGUGGGAGUCUUUAUGCUCCCUUUCCAAAUUGAAGCAGGUCAGUUCCUCGGGGAACCCCUCCCCUGGUUGCAGGCCUCGGAUGUGCAUAGAAAGUGCAUGGAGUCCGGGAACUGAGGCUUUGCAGACGGUCUGCGAGCUGCCAACUCAAAAGCUGGAAGUAGUCGGUGGCGAAAACCUAGGAAUCCGAGCCAUGUCCUUACUCUGUUCUCCUCAGCCCAGGGCUGGGAGUGCAGUCUCAUAGUCCAAGGGCACGCGGUGGUGCACGGGCCACGGUCCGCAGAGGUAGGAGGAGAAGGCCUAAGGUGCCAACCUCAGACCUACUGGGGCUGGAAGAGGCCAAGGGGAGAAGGAAGCCUUGCCCUUACAUCUAGAGGCCCGUAGAGGAUCCUCAUCACGGCUGUGGCCAACCAGUGCUCUGAGCCUUGGAGACCCCCCGCCAGCCUCUCGCUGCAGGCCCGGCCCAGGACAGAGGACAGGGAGGGGAGAGGAGGUGGCGUGCAAGGGGAGCCCGGGCAGGAGGAGAGGCAGAUUGGUGGAAGAGACCUUCAUAACGACAUGGGAUGACCUGUGUCCUGCCCUUCAGUCUCAGAGGACCCUCUCUGGGAAUACCUGGCUGUCAUCUCUAGAGUCCUAGAGCCACUGAACACAGGCUGAAGUCCAGAGUAGAGCCUGCAGCUCCAGGCCAGAUGGCCAGCUUUGUCUUCUUUACAGACGUGAUGUGACAAGAUUCUGCUUGACCCACCCCAUGCUGGUCAGUUCCCAAGGCAAAAGAUAUGCUUCAAGGAAUUCAGGAAAAGAAGCAUUUGUACAUUUCAGUGUGGAUCCUUUUAGCCUGCUGCUCCAGACACAGGCUCUUUGGAUGCAUCUUGUCACUUACAAGCUACUGGCCUACUAUAAUUGUCUGAAAACAGUCUUUCCCCUGAAUUGCACUGGAAUUAACAGUAGAGCGACAAGCAGGCUCUGAAUGAAAGGACAGCGGCUGCCCCCAGAGCUCAACUCGGUACUAGGCUCCGAGCGAAGGUGUCACAGGAAGUGCUGCUCCUGCCCGUGUUGUGAGUGAUUGUGUAAGCGUUUAGGGGGAUGUGAACGAAGACUCAGGGGCAGUCGGUUGGCCUGUGUGCAGAGGACAGAUUUGCCAUAGCUCUACACAGUCAAUCACGGUUAUUCAGAGUACCACACAAAUUCACACACAAUGCGACAGCAGCCAGAUGGAAACAGCAGCUUUUCGUCCUCGGAAGCAGCCUGAUGUGUGCUGGUGUCUACAAGGGAAGGUGGGUGUGGCCAUAGCCUGACCUGGGCGCCUCUGUGUCCUGGGCCCUCCGGACACCUGGUGGGUCAUCUCAUUGGGGCACAUACCCUGCAGCUUUGCCCCAGCAUUUCUGAGAUGCCCACUUGGAAUUAUCUUCACAGGGACUCAAACUAUACUCUAUUCUUUUGCUUCUGAUUCCUCCAAACUGGAUAAUUUAAUCAGCCAUUGAUUUCUCUUUUUCCCAGUGAUUUAAAAAAAAAAAACAAACCUCUGGUUGAGAAUAUGUUUUUAAAGGGCCAUUUUAACAGCCCGAGGCUGGUGUGUUGUGUAGUGUGGCAGUAGGGUAUGCCCUUUUGGGGUACGUGCAGGAUGCCAACACCUGUAGUCUACCAUCAUCAGAAUGGAAUCGUGACUUCCUCCACUGGGUUCCCAGUUUCCAUGGUUACAGUCUCUCUGUCUUCUGUGUCUCUGGGGUGAGGCUUGAGACUUUCCUGUCCUUUGUCCUCUCUCCUACUAGAUCCUGCCACUUUCUCAGGGUGCCACUGUCCUCAUUCCGAGCCCUGCCAGUGUUGAGGCAUUGGCCAGGUGGCCCCGGUGUCUCCUUCCACAUCCAUUUGACCAGCAUCCUCCCUCCUUGAGAUUUUGGCACCUCUCUCCAGACCCUUAGAGUGUCCCCACUCCUGGUCCCCUUUCCCUCAGCCUGGGGAAGGCUAUGUAACUUUCCCUCCCUGUCACUUGCAGAGCUGGUCACUGAGCUUCCUGCUAGUGUUAUUGUCCUAGAGGGACCCAUGAGAAUCUGACUGCUAACGACAUGUUGUUUCCCCUGUAUGCAAUGAAGUUUUCAUCCAUACUUGCUUUCUGCCCUCAAUCUCCCUGAUCAACUGCUCCACAGAUAUCAAAUAUAAAAUGCUAGCAAUAAACAGUCACAAGUCUUCAGUUAUGCACUUGCCUGCUACCGAGCCCUGUCCUGCCCUGGGUGGGAAUCAUGCCUGGUCCACACAGGCGGGAUGUCUACAUUGUGUGCCCAUGGGUCACUCUGAGCUGUCUCUUAACAGAUCAGCUGCUGCAGAGCCUUAGGGCUUGUACUUUGUGACAGCCCCCAACACACAAGGGCAGCAAUUCAGGAAAGCUUCUCUUCAAUGCAAUACGAUUGGUUAUAAGAUCUAUGUUUCUGAAAAUGUUUGAUGUACUUCACUUAUCAAUAAUUAGAGAUGUUUUCAAAUCCCCUAUCAUGAUAAAUAUUUUGACUUCCUGUAAUCUUAUCAAUUUUUACUUUAUACACUUUAAAGUUAUGUUAGAAGAGGGGGGAAGGAAGGAGAGGUGGGAAGGGGAAGUAAGAGGAACUGAGAUGCAUCACACACACGCACCACCUCUUCACAGUGACUGUGAUCAUUCAUUACGGUCUGCAAAGGCGGACUGAUGAAAAAAAACUUUAAAGUUCAAAACAGCAGCAACAACAAAAGCCAAAGAGAAGCCAUACAGUGUGUUCUCCAGGUGAAAAGGCGGAGGUGCUCAAGUAUGGGCGAGGAAAAAAUCAUACAAGGUCACCACGAUCCCUGGUAAGCACGACACAGGAGGAUGUUCAGUUGAGGCAGCGCCCUUGGCAGGUGAGGGGGCCACUGUGCAGGACCCCUGCCCACACAUGUGCAGAACCCACACGCCUGUGUCCCCGCACUGCGCACACCUCCUUGGCAUGGAGGAGUUGGACUGGAACAUGCAUCCCUGUACUUUUUUUGUUUCUGUCUCUCAAAGGCCAGGGAUCUGUGUACUGAGAAACUGAAAAGAAAACGAAAUCUUUUUUUUUGUCUUUUUCUUUUUUAUCGGUACCGGGGAUUGAACUCAUGACUGCCUGCUUUCAAGGCAGGCGCUUAUGCCGCUGAGCUAAACUUCCAGCCCCAUGAAAACAAAAUCUUUCAAGCUGGUCAGUGCUGGAGCCACAGCAACCACACACACAGAUACCUGUGCAAACACAUGCAUGACACACACAUUUCUUACUGGCAAGGACUCUGCUUUCAGCCGCAGGUUCAGGCCAGCACAGGGUGGUGUGGGCUCCCUGGUGUCCAGUGGGUCCUCCAGGCAAUCUCAGAACUGGCAUUAUUAUUUCAGUGAUAAUUCAGUGUAGUAACUGACUUUGAGCAAGGUGAGGGCUUUGAUCCUUGGUCUUCUAUGUGAUGUGUCCUGGGUGUCUCUCCUUUCCCUUGCUCAGCUGCUGGCCCUUCCUGUGCAGAUCCUGGAGUCACACAGUACAGACCUGUCUCACACCCUGGCCUCCCCAUAGGAGCACGGGAUCUCCAGGACAGCACAAGCUCUGCCUGGCUGGGUGGCACUGGAAAGUUCCCAGCUGUUCCCUUCAGCGUGUUCUGCGUGAUAACGACAGAGCAAAGCCACACUGCUCUCAGCCCCAUCUCACCUUUUUAUCAGCUCCUGUAUUUAUCCCAAGGCACCCUGGCCUCUGCCUCUUGCUGGCCUACAGGAGCCCAGACAGUGGCUUCUGCCCCACCUGACCCUCAGCUGUGGGUGGGUGCUGGUGUCUGCCUUGCAAAUAGCUUUCCCUUCCUCUGUAAUCUCCAUCCACAGUGCAGCAAGUACUCUAAAGCAUCACUACGGUGGGGCACAAGUGCCUCUGAAGGUCCCUUCUGUCUGCAUUGGGCACGAUGGCCUCUGUUGCUCCCAUCACUGUCAGCCCUGGGCUAGUGUGGCUGGAUCAACGCUGAAGCUCUGAUGAUGAUGGCACCAGUCGACAAAGAGCAGAAGUCACCAGAGCAGAAGAUGGUCCCAGCGGGGAUGUCCACUAGCCUGGGGUGGCUGGAGCCAGGUCUCCUGUGUUCCCCUUAGGCAUGCCUCGUCUCCUCAGGGCCUGAGGGAGGAGCUCCAGUUCCCUUGAGAAAGGGCAGGACAGCUGGAGACAGACUCCAGCUCAUGAGUUUGUUGUGGUCGACAGAGGUGAUUCCACUGCUUGCCUGAACAUGUGUUUCUUCUCAGCACUGACAUGUGCUAAACUCUUGCAUGUCCUCUCUGUGUGUGUGUGUGUGUGUGUGUGUGUGUGUGUGUGUGUGUGUGCAUGUGUGCAGUUGAGAACAACUUUCACAUCAGAAGCCCUCUUGCAAUGAUUUGGCCCUGAUCACAUAAUCUGUGUAGAGUGCUGGGCUCCACAUUUAUCUGUAUGCAUGGGGAUCUCCCCAAAUCCAUGUGAGCCCAAGAGGAUUGAGGUGUUGGGGAACCUGCUGGAGGCUGUGCAGGCCGCAGUACAGGUGCUCCCUGGGAUCACUCUGACCAGUGUUUUCCACUGAAGAGAACUGUGUCAACCCAAAACCACCGUGGCUCCUGCUAUGGGACCUGAGCUCUGUUAGGUCAGCCCCAGCAUGCAUCGUUGUCCUACACACACAUGUGCACACACACACACACACACACAUCCUGUGCCACACUCAGAGACUGGACCGUCACUGUACUGAUUCCACUGAGGAAUGCUGCAGAGCACUCUUAAUGUGUGCUCACCAAGCACUGUCCACAGUGGAAUCACCAACUAUCCUGCACCAGGACGGCCUGGAGAGGCAAACUCCUUGUGGGUCUUGUCUGAUAGUGGCAGAUGUCCCCCCAGAGGUGGUGACCUAUGUGGCAGAGCAGGGACACCACAAGAAGAAAGACUGCAUGCGGGGCUGGUGGCAAAAGCCUUGCCUCUCAUCCUCUUAGCACAAGGCCUGGCCCCUGAAGCUGAGCUUCCAGCUGCAGAGCAAGUGGCCAGCGCAUCCAGAAUGCUAGAGACAGAGCCGGAUGAGCAGCCACCCAGCACCCUGGCCGAGAGCGGGAGUAAUAACAACUCCUGUAUUCCCACUGGAGUCACCGUGGCUGGCCCAGCUUCACGUGCCUGAACUUCUACAGAAUCAUGUAAGAUCGUUGGAAGCGAUCUCUUCCUUUCUGUGUUUUAAGGCAGUUUAGUGUUCCACGUGUAAGGCCCAGCACUGACGGCGCCUGUGAUUGAUAAUUCUCUCCGUGGGACUUAUAGGUUCAUAAAGCAAAGAAUGUAAUCUAAUCACCCAUAGGUACAUGAUUUCUUUAUCCCUCCUAUCAGACGUAAUAUGGGUCAUAGUCACAAUUUAAUAACAGCCCAAGUAGGGCUCAAUAAAAUUUACCAUUAAGAGCUGAAAA